UGCAGUCGAGCGAACUGAUUAGAAGCUUGCUUCUAUGACGUUAGCGGCGGACGGGUGAGUAACACGUGGGCAACCUGCCUGUAAGACUGGGAUAACUUCGGGAAACCGAAGCUAAUACCGGAUAGGAUCUUCUCCUUCAUGGGAGAUGAUUGAAAGAUGGUUUCGGCUAUCACUUACAGAUGGGCCCGCGGUGCAUUAGCUAGUUGGUGAGGUAACGGCUCACCAAGGCAACGAUGCAUAGCCGACCUGAGAGGGUGAUCGGCCACACUGGGACUGAGACACGGCCCAGACUCCUACGGGAGGCAGCAGUAGGGAAUCUUCCGCAAUGGACGAAAGUCUGACGGAGCAACGCCGCGUGAGUGAUGAAGGCUUUCGGGUCGUAAAACUCUGUUGUUAGGGAAGAACAAGUACGAGAGUAACUGCUCGUACCUUGACGGUACCUAACCAGAAAGCCACGGCUAACUACGUGCCAGCAGCCGCGGUAAUACGUAGGUGGCAAGCGUUAUCCGGAAUUAUUGGGCGUAAAGCGCGCGCAGGCGGUUUCUUAAGUCUGAUGUGAAAGCCCACGGCUCAACCGUGGAGGGUCAUUGGAAACUGGGGAACUUGAGUGCAGAAGAGAAAAGCGGAAUUCCACGUGUAGCGGUGAAAUGCGUAGAGAUGUGGAGGAACACCAGUGGCGAAGGCGGCUUUUUGGUCUGUAACUGACGCUGAGGCGCGAAAGCGUGGGGAGCAAAACAGGAUUAGAUACCCUGGUAGUCCACGCCGUAAACGAUGAGUGCUAAGUGUUAGAGGGUUUCCGCCCUUUAGUGCUGCAGCUAACGCAUUAAGCACUCCGCCUGGGGAGUACGGU
rnacentral:rRNA from 1 species